rnacentral:rRNA from 1 species
CCUACGGGGCGCAGCAGUGGGGAAUAUUGGACAAUGGGCGAAAGCCUGAUCCAGCCAUGCCGCGUGUGUGAAGAAGGCCUUCGGGUUGUAAAGCACUUUCAGUGGGGAAGAAAGCCUUGGGGCUAAUACCCUCGAGGAAGGACAUCACCCACAGAAGAAGCACCGGCUAACUACGUGCCAGCAGCCGCGGUAAUACGGAGGGUGCGAGCGUUAAUCGGAAUUACUGGGCGUAAAGCGCGCGUAGGCGGUCUGAUAAGCCGGUUGUGAAAGCCCCGGGCUCAACCUGGGAACGGCAUCCGGAACUGUCAGGCUAGAGUGCAGGAGAGGAAGGUAGAAUUCCCCGUGUAGCGGUGAAAUGCGUAGAGAUCGGGAGGAAUACCAGUGGCGAAGGCGGCCUUCUGGACUGACACUGACGCUGAGGUGCGAAAGCGUGGGUAGCAAACAGGAUUAGAUACCCCGGUAGUC